rnacentral:rRNA from 1 species
GACGAACGCUGGCGGCGUGCUUAACACAUGCAAGUCGUACGGUGAGGCCCUUUCGGGGGUACACGAGUGGCGAACGGGUGAGUAACACGUGAGUAACCUGCCCACAACUUUGGGAUAACGCUAGGAAACUGGUGCUAAUACUGGAUAUGUGCUCCUGCUGCAUGGUGGGGGUUGGAAAGCUCCGGCGGUUGUGGAUGGACUCGCGGCCUAUCAGCUUGUUGGUGGGGUAGUGGCCUACCAAGGCGGCGACGGGUAGCCGGCCUGAGAGGGUGUCCGGCCACAUUGGGACUGAGAUACGGCCCAGACUCCUACGGGAGGCAGCAGUGGGGAAUAUUGCACAAUGGGCGCAAGCCUGAUGCAGCAACGCCGCGUGCGGGAUGACGGCCUUCGGGUUGUAAACCGCUUUCAGCAGGGACGAAGCUUUUUGUGACGGUACCUGCAGAAGAAGCACCGGCUAACUACGUG